rnacentral:rRNA from 1 species
GAUGAACGCUGGCGGCGCGCCUAACACAUGCAAGUCGAACGAUUAAAGCACCUUCGGGUGUGUAUAAAGUGGCGAACGGCUGAGUAACACGUGGGCAACCUGCCCCUUUCAUUGGGAUAGCCACGGGAAACCGUGGAUAAUACCGAAUACUUCGAGACUUCCGCAUGGAAGACUCGAGCAAGCUCCGGCGGAGAGGGAUGGGCCCGCGGCCUGUUAGCUUGUUGGUGGGGUAACGGCCUACCAAGGCAAUGAUGGGUAGCUGGGUUGAGAGACCGACCAGCCAGAUUGGGACUGAGACACGGCCCAGACUCCUACGGGAGGCAGCAGUGGGGAAUCUUGCACAAUGGGCGAAAGCCUGAUGCAGCGACGCCGCGUGCGGGAUGAAGGCCUUCGGGUUGUAAACCGCUUUCAGCAGGGACGAGGCGAAAGUGACGGUACCUGCAGAAGAAGCCCCGGCUAACUACGUG